UCCCUUUCACACUCUCUUUCCUCUACUAUUCUAAAACUCUAAUUGAUUUAAGCAUCGAAGAGUCUGUUGGAAAUUAUGUUCUAAAAUUAAUCGUGUGAUGAUUGAAUUUCUCUUUGUAUAUAAAUUAUUGAUUAUUGAAUAAAAAUUAUUCUGAUAUUUUUCAUUACAAAGUAACAUCUUUCUUGAACUCUUGUGCUAUAAUAAAGUCCUUAAAACUAUGUUAGUGCAUGAUAAAAAAAAGAUUUAUCGUAUAGUUCUUAAAUAUG
rnacentral:lncRNA from 1 species